GGGAAAAGGGGAGGGUGUGCUGGGGGCUUCUGCUAGGUAAUGUGUAUUACUUUAUAGGGCUUUGGUGCUGAUCUGGGGUUCCAGAAGCUCUGUGUUUGCUGGAUUUCACUCACUGAAGUCUACUUCUAGGGAGUGCUCCUCCUGGUGCUGUUGCUGUUAACUUUUGCCCUGUGAACCCUGCUGUGGUGUAGCUGUGUGAGUCUGGGCUGAACGCUGGGGGUGGUCGGGGAGGAUAAAUGGAAGAAAAACUAAAAAACUGCUGCAGCUCUGCUUUCUCCUGUGCUUUGAAGUGUCUGUGGCAGCACGGACAGCAGCUCUGAGGCCUGGUGGGCCUCCCACAACGAACGUCCCCUCCACAGCGGUGUGUGGCUGCUCGAGGGCUGGUGCCAGGUGGCACAGGCCGGCCUGGGUCCAUUCUGCGAGCGGUGCUGGGGCUGUGUGGAGGCUGGGGCAAGGUGCUGGGGCUGGAGGAGCUCAGCCAGGUGUGAGUGAGGCCGAGGAGCGACCCCUCAGCUCUGUGGACCUGCAGGGACUGGCUGAGCUCCAGCUUGGCAGCGGCCACAUUGGCCCUGUGGAUGCUGCCAGAGGAAAGGGGCUGUCGUCUUGCAUGAGUGCACGUGAAGGGUGAUGCUGGAGAGGACACAAAUGAACUAUUCAAGCAUUUUUUUUCCUUCUGCUGGCAUUGGCUUGUGGUUUGGAUGCUGGCUUGAUCUACACGGAUGCGUCUGGCUGUGUUUUUUAAGACACACUGAGAGCGAGGUGUCUGGUCAGAGGCUUAUGGUGCCCUACGUCACUCCCUGGAGGUGCAGUGUGCCCUGACCCUGGAUGAAGAGGCACAGAAGGGGCUAGCACUUCAAAUCACAAAUCUGGUUUAGUGACCUUCUCAGCACAGUACAGAAAGGCCUUGGACUUUGAAAGGAUUGAAAGCAAAUGACACCCAUGGGAAAGAAGAGACGGAGAGGUGUAGCCAGAGCUGUUGCGGAGCUUUCAUCUUUAGAAAGGGGCUGAGAGCUGCCUGCUGGAAUUAGAGAAAAGACACGGUGGGAGUUCUCCCAUACCCCUUGCUAUACCUCCUAAUGGAUAGCAGCACACCUCCCACCACAGUCCUGGUGCUUACGGGGAUGACUUUAUGGUCAGGGAUGGGGUUGAUGCAAGGUACCAGUAUUUUAACAUCAGAUUCCCCUAGCCCACAUAUCACUGCUUUUUCUUGGAGUGUGAUUUAAAGCAUGGCAAGGAAAAUCACUUCUGCUGAGAGCAGUUGCUACAGCUGCCAGACUUACAUAUUUCUGGUGGCUUCGCUGAUGCCUUUCAACCUUUCCAUGUGCCUCUAAAACACCAUUAUCAAGAAAAUUUAAGACCUUACCAAAGAAGCUUAGCUGUACUAUUUUGUGCUCUGUGAUAGAGCCCUGAAAUGCUGAGCAAGGGCUUCUGAGGAAGAGCUAGGUAGCUAAAUCGACACACUUUGGGAGCUUGAGGGGCUGUUUUUUGUUGUUGUUGUUUGUUUUGUUUGGUUUUUUUUUUUUGAGAGCCUUUGUCCAAGCUGGAUGUAGAGGUCUGUCAGCAUGAGGCAGACCAAUGUCUCAGGCUUCAGCUCCUGCAAGAACCCCCUUGGAAAUAAUUAAACGCUGAUGUCAAAGCAUCUUAACAGAUGGAGGAGCUCUGUGUGCACCUUACAGCCUGCUGUAAGUUAGUGGGAGAGGCUGGAGUGCCAAAGUCUUCCUGAACUCCCUCAAUGUGGAGAAGCUGCAGAGUUUUAUAUUUCUUGGGUGUGGUAAUACGAAAACAUUAUGACUCCUUGAGAAAUUAAGGCUACUCAGGUUAAGCAUUGCAAAUCCCCCUUUUAGCCUUCCUUUCCAGAACAACCCAUGUUAAAAACCCUGGUUGUGUGGUUGGGUCAGGCUUGCAGGGGUGGGAAGACACCCCCUUGCCUUCAGUGCUGCACAUCUCAAGUUGAAGUCCUGCUGGCAACGUGCACUGAGUCAUCACAGCGGUGACUUGGUUAGGAUUCUGCACUGGGAGUUUAGGGGGUGACUUGUUUCUAAAACUGGGCUUUUAUUCUUUUGUCUGUGGGUGGAAUUAAAAGAGAACUUACGUGCAAAGCAGUUAUCAAAAUCCAGAAGCAUCUCACGUGCUUUGUGAUAACUUACCCAAAGUCUUUUGUAUUUCUGUAAAGCUGACUUCCCUUCUGCCCUCGUAUUUUCCUGGGAAGCUGAACAGUUCAGUACCUCUGUUCAUCUCCUUGCUAAUGAGUCAACACCUCUAAUGCUUUCAGAAUGAAAUAGGCAUUCAUAUGUUGCAGAUGCUUAUGUAACAUCAGUGGCAGAGGCUCAUUUUUAAUGAAUUCAUCCCUGGUGGUGUGAGUUUUCAUGUGUGCAGUCACCUUUAUAGCAGCCGGAUAACUGCAUGAUUAAACCCCAUCGUUGUUAGUCGAGCAGUGGUAGUUCCCUGCAGGAAAGAGGAGAUGCAGAGCAUCAGUGAACAUGUGAAGCCCUUCCAGGUUAUUCAGCAAGUCUCCUGGUUAGAACUCGAGAGUAAGAGGUUUUUUUCUUAUGAAAAUGAGGGAUAUGUGAACAACCUCACCUGAGAAAGAGCCAUCUUGUUCUCUUUUUUUUCCUUUUCUUUUGCUAUUUAUCUUUCUUGUGAAAUAUGAUUAGACAGAAGGAUGAAUUUGGCAAACAGCAGGAGAGCCUUGCCUGCUAUCAGACUAGCUGGUACAACGGGGAGACAGAUGCUUAACAAGCUCUCAAAGUAGGAAACUUCCAAUUAGUAUUGAUUAGAAACAUUUUUUUUUUUCUUAUUGUAACUACUAUAGUGUGGUGUGUGUUGUCAUUAGCACUUUUUCUUGUUACAGCUGUUUUUUGGCUUUGUUUACUCAUUGGAAUGUGAACGAAAAGAUGGCCUUUCCUUUCCUCUAUAUCAUUACGAACCUAGUUAACUGGAUUACAUAUGGAAACAAUUUAGGGGGGAAAAACACUAGACCUGUAGUAAUUGUAGAGCUGUAUCUAGGCUGUUUGCUGAAUGCAGUGAGAAAGGAGAUAACUUUCUGCUUUUGCUGAAAGCUCAGUGAGUGGGGAAAGUCUGGGCUGCUGCAGAAUAAACCCGGAGCUGGUGGCAGGAGUGCCUCUUAUGUUGCAACAGCCAUCCACGUACUGGCUCUUUGCUGCUUAUGUAAAACUGUCAGUGCACCUGAGGGGUAAGGCCACCGUUUUUAGGAAGGAGAAAGUCAUAAGCAUGGAGCAGGCAUUUACAUCCCUGUGACCUGCUCCCUGGUUCUCGCAGCGCUGUGUCCUGGCUGUAGCUUUCUUGCAUGAGGCUGCUCAGGCCCUGAUUCAAAUCCUGCAAAAACUACUGGGGUGACUUUCAUUAACUGCAGAAACCAGAUCUGGCCCUAAAAGAUGGACAAAGACUUCUGACACGCCUGCUCCUGGCGAGGCUUUUAUGCCUCCGGCUAUCAGAUGUGUGCUCCACCGAGCAGCAGCAUUAAAGAUGCAUGGCCUGUGGCAUCUCUGUUUCCUGGUGGGCUGGUGAGGGCUGCUUGGGUCUGGGUGGGGGCUGCAGUGCUGAAAUUCUCCGUGGGCUCCUCUCCUGUGGUCAGGAGCUGAUGAGCUCUGUGUGUCUGAGCCAGACUGUCCAGGCAGAGCCAUCGGUGCCUUGAUGUAAGGAUGGGCUCAGAGUCAGGAGGAAAUCUCCUCCUGGGGCUCUGCUCUAGGGUGAGAGCAGUGUGGGGAUGCUCCUGGGAGAGGAGAGGGACCUGAGUGUGGCAGCAGAGACAGCUCCAUGGAAAAGCCUCACCUGGCACCUGGAAGGUGAAGCUCCUCAAACAGCAGGUGGGGACAUGGCAGGGCUGCUUCAUCUGAGGGCCUCCAGGAUAAAAAUGCCCACAAAAAACAAGGGUUUGGGAUUCAGGAACCCCCUUUGCGUUUUUUCUGUUCCCAAAGGUUGCGAGGCCAAGUUUCUUUCAGAUUGGAUUUAUAAUACAUUAAAUAAUUGUAUAUUAAACAAAUGUCAGACACACCCUUAAACACUUCAGCUUGUUAAAUACCUGAAUGCCACAGGGGAUUUUAUGGCUAAACACUCCAUGCGCUGUGCAAACCAGCUUAUCGGACAGUAUUUGCUUAUUCUGGGGAGAAAGCUCGCGGAUGAGAACAAAGCACUGAUGAGUUUCUAGUGCAGUGCACGGAGAUAAUGUCAUAAAUUGCCAAUCGAUAGGUGUCCAGCUGAAGGUAGAAGGGCUUUUAAUGGUAGGGUAGGAAAUAUCAAAGCAAAUUAUGGGCACGACUGCUGUGACUAACCUGCUUGCCUCUGAGGACAGGUCUUGAUCCAGCUUGAGCCAUUGGCCUAGAAGGAAGGGGAAGGGUAGGGGCUGAGCUGCAGCCUCCUGGUGGCUCCCACCUCGCUCCUGUGGGGCAGGCUCUGCUCUUUGCGAGGCAUGGAUGGAGCCACUUCUCUGCUGGCUUUCCGUGCCAGUCUUUCUCUAAAAUUCAAGACCAUUACCCACGGCAAUGGCUUAUUUUAGUUACAGGAGGGGAGUGGGCAUAGCUGAAAAUAAAAUAACGUUGUGUUAUCUAAAAGCAAAGCCACCCUUCAUUAAGUUCCAGCAUCCAGGUGGUGCUUUGGGAGUGCCUUGCUUUGACCAACUUCUCAUACAAAAACUCUUCAGCACUGACCCUUGGGCUGCCCAGGGGUGUCUGUUUUCAGGUAGCCAGAAGCUCUUGCUUCUGAUUCAAAGCCCUUUUGGCACAGGAGGGUGGCUUUGAGCUGUCAUUUCAAAUUCUCCAAUGGCAGCACCUGCGCUAAUGUUAGCACAGCGAGUUCGUGUGGCACCAGGAGCGUGCCAUGCCCUUGUGUCUUGACUCUAAGUUGUGUCUGGCCCAUAAAGUCUUUCCAUCAGAGUUUCUCGGAGGCUUGCAAACACUGGGUUAGACCAGCUUACUUCUGACCUUCAAAAUUUCCAGCCAGAUGCAAAGUUUGCACCUUGAGACAAUCUUUCUAAUUAAUCUCCCCACCCUGCUGUGAAGAAGGUAAGUAACAGGCAUUAACUGCGGUUCGGGGAUUGGAGGAGAGGAGUAAGAUGCAGAGCUGUGAUAGCAUAAGAGGUUUUCAGCCCACAAACCACACUGGAGGCAGAAGAAGACCGCAGCAGUGUUGUCCAGGUGGGCUUCCCCCAGAAACCGCCUGGGACAGCGCUUGCCCCAUGCAGGACAGAGGCUGCACAGGGGACUCGGGCAUUAGCAAAGACGUAGGGAUUAAUUAGCGGAUUAAAGCCACGAUUGCUAAGGGCUGGUGCUUGAGGUGGACUCGACUCUGGUGCAGUGUUGGGAGGUGGAAACCAGCCCCAGGUGUCAGUGCUGGGCGCUCGGCAGCCCUGCACUGGGAGCUGAGCACCCAGUGCCCCAGGCGAGGCACCCGAGGGUGGAGAGGAGCAUGGGGAUAGAAAGGAGAGCUCAGCUUCACGCUCGGCACCGGGCAGGUGGCCAGCUCCUGACCACAGGGACUUUAACCAGGAACCCUGCAGGCCAUGGAUCUCUGCCCAUCGGUCUGCAAUGUUUCUUUCUUGCCAAGGGUGUGAACUCUUGCAGUACGUGCACAGGUCAGCCUGGCCCUGGCUCUCUCCAGCUUUUGGAGAGGUUUGCUCUAAGCCUACUCCUGGUUUUGUGCCUACAAAUGGUCCUUCCCCUGGGUAAGGCCUGGAUGUUAAUGCUGUGUUGCUGCUGGAGCUGGUGUGACACGCGUUACCUGUGGUGAGCUGGCCUCCAUGCCCACAGGGAGGAGGAGGAACGGGUGCCAGGCAGCCGAUCUGCCCCUCUGCCUCUUUAGUCCCAUGGUUCUGCUGCCACUUUCAGCCUUCCCUGGGUGCCCUCCUGCCUCCUCGCUGCUGAUUUCCUUCCUCCAGCUCUCCUUUUCCAGUCGCGCCCUGGUUAUGCCAUGUAACUAUCUGCAAGGCACUGAGAGCCUUCCCAUAACUUCAGCACUUCCCAAGCCCCUGAAUGAGUUUAUUUUUCACAGUGAAUUACCAAUACCAGUGCUCGUGCUGGGGCACCCUUCUCUCAGCCGUGGUCUCACCACAACAGCACCCAUCUCAGCCCCGUCUCCUUGUCUUGUCCCUGGCAGCUUCCUCCUCAACAAGCCAGGCCCCACAGCCAGGUCACUCCUCCCCUUGCACUGCUCAUUUCCUCCCACCAUUUGUGUUCAGAGCCUCUUAUCCUCAUUGUUAAACCUGCAAGAUUUCCCCCUUCAUCCCCCUUUUCUGUCCCUAUCUCUCCCACCCCUCUGUGCCCCUGCCUAGCUCACUUCACCUCUUGCCCUGGGCCAGCCCCAGUGCUCAAAGCAGCCCAUUGCCAUGACCAACAUGUGCCUUCAGUUCUUAUCUCGUGGCUCGUUUC